rnacentral:rRNA from 1 species
UGCAAGUCGAACGGAAGUCGUUAUAAAAAGGAUUGAAGAUUUAUCUGAUUGAGAUUUUAUAACAAUGGCUUUAGUGGCGGACUGGUGAGUAACGCGUGAGCAACCUGCCUACUAGAGGGGAAUAACAGUGAGAAAUCAUUGCUAAUACCGCAUAUGCCAUGAACAUCACAUGAUGAAAAUGGGAAAAGAGUAAUCUGCUAGUAGAUGGGCUCGCGUCUGAUUAGAUAGUUGGUGGGGUAACGGCCUACCAAGUCGACGAUCAGUAGCCGGACUGAGAGGUUGAACGGCCACAUUGGGACUGAGAUACGGCCCAGACUCCUACGGGAGGCAGCAGUCGGGAAUAUUGCGCAAUGGAGGAAACUCUGACGCAGUGACGCCGCGUAUAGGAAGAAGGUUUUCGGAUUGUAAACUAUUGUCGUUAGGGAAGAUACAAGACAGUACCUAAGGAGGAAGCUCCGGCUAACUACGUGCCAGCAGCCGCGGUAAUACGUAGGGAGCAAGCGUUAUCCGGAUUUAUUGGGUGUAAAGGGUGCGUAGACGGGACAACAAGUUAGUUGUGAAAUCCCUCGGCUUAACUGAGGAACUGCAACUAAAACUAUUGUUCUUGAGUGUUGGAGAGGAAAGUGGAAUUCCUAGUGUAGCGGUGAAAUGCGUAGAUAUUAGGAGGAACACCGGUGGCGAAGGCGACUUUCUGGACAAUAACUGACGUUGAGGCACGAAAGUGUGGGGAGCAAACAGGAUUAGAUACCC